UCUUUCAGUAGGGAAGAAGCGAAAGUGACGGUACCUGCAGAAGAAGCGCCGGCUAACUACGUGCCAGCAGCCGCGGUAAUACGUAGGGCGCAAGCGUUAUCCGGAAUUAUUGGGCGUAAAGAGCUCGUAGGCGGUUUGUCGCGUCUGCCGUGAAAGUCCGGGGCUCAACUCCGGAUCUGCGGUGGGUACGGGCAGACUAGAGUGAUGUAGGGGAGACUGGAAUUCCUGGUGUAGCGGUGAAAUGCGCAGAUAUCAGGAGGAACACCGAUGGCGAAGGCAGGUCUCUGGGCAUUAACUGACGCUGAGGAGCGAAAGCAUGGGGAGCGAACAGGAUUAGAUACCCUGGUAGUCCAUGCCGUAAACGUUGGGCACUAGGUGUGGGGGACAUUCCACGUUUUCCGCGCCGUAGCUAACGCAUUAAGUGCCCCGCCUGGGGAGUACGGCCGCAAGGCUAAAACUCAAAGGAAUUGACGGGGGCCCGCACAAGCGGCGGAGCAUGCGGAUUAAUUCGAUGCAACGCGAAGAACCUUACCAAGGCUUGACAUGAACCGGAAACGCCUGGAGACAUGGUGCCCCGCUUGCGGUCGGUUUACUAGGUGGUGCAUGGUGUCGUCAGCUCGUGUC
rnacentral:rRNA from 1 species